CUUUUAUCACCUCGACCGUGGAUGGAGAUCGUCCGGCCUCCCGUGAAAAUUUGCCAGUUUGGUCGCCACAAGAACAGCCAGUAAACAGACGUCAGACCUGUGACGUGUCUCUUGUGCAGAAACGUGAGCAGCCGGCCUCAUGUGCUGGAGACCGAGCUGGCUGGCUUUAACUGAAGAGGCUCUGCUGACACCAGGAGCUGUCUCAGCCCUCAGUCGCUGGUGUAGCUGACAGAGAUGUAGACAUUUGUAAAUAAAAUGUUCCCCAGUAGA